GCUGAUUUGUUAAAAGAAGCUUGACUGAGGAAACCUGCCAGGAAGAUAAUGUGGUUUGAGGGAAGUAGCAAGAAGGGAGGGGAAACAAGAGGUGGGGAGUGCUGAAGCUACCUACAAAGGAAGAGUAAGGCUUGAGCAUGGAGGCAUGGAGACCAACAAUUCUAUUUCUGUAAAGCCUGAGGACAGGAUGGCUCAUCUCACACCUGGGACAGAAGUCGCAGAGAACAAUGCAAACAGAGACCGAGAAGAGGUUGUCCUCUCCCCUUUGACUUCUCCCUGACAGUUACAUAAUUCCCUCUGCGAAAGAGAGGUUAAGAACUGGGAAAAGCACAGAAUUCAAUUAAGACUUGC
rnacentral:lncRNA from 1 species